rnacentral:rRNA from 1 species
AUGAACGCUGGCGGCGUGCCUAAUACAUGCAAGUCGCGCGAACAGACGAGGAGCUUGCUCCUCUGACGUUAGCGGCGGACGGGUGAGUAACACGUGGAUAACCUACCUAUAAGACUGGGAUAACUUCGGGAAACCGGAGCUAAUACCGGAUAAUAUAUUGAACCGCAUGGUUCAAUAGUGAAAGACGGUUUUGCUGUCACUUAUAGAUGGAUCCGCGCCGCAUUAGCUAGUUGGUAAGGUAACGGCUUACCAAGGCAACGAUGCGUAGCCGACCUGAGAGGGUGAUCGGCCACACUGGAACUGAGACACGGUCCAGACUCCUACGGGAGGCAGCAGUAGGGAAUCUUCCGCAAUGGGCGAAAGCUUGACGGAGCAACGCCGCGUGAGUGAUGAAGGUCUUCGGAUCGUAAAACUCUGUUAUUAGGGAAGAACAAAUGUGUAAGUAACUAUGCACGCCUUGACGGUACCUAAUCAGAAAGCCACGGCUAACUACGUG